CAGGAUGAUGAAGGUCAGACCGCACUGCACUACGCCUCAGCUUGUGAGUUUGCAGAAAUAGUUGAGCUACUCCUGAAGGCUGGAGCUGACCCAUCAAUCAAAGAUCAAGAAGGCUCCCUUCCAGAAGAGGUGACAGAGUCUAGCGCUAUCUCCUCUCUCCUGCGCCAGUACACUGCUCCCAAAGGCUAAAUCUCACUCUGUGAAAUCUCACUCCAAAAAUCAAACCAAACCCACAUGAUCAAGUUAAAAGUUCAUACAAACUGUGCUCCUCAUCCACAUGGUACAUGCCUGCGGUCAAACUGACACUAGUUCCAGACCUGAACUCAAUCAGUUCAGCAUUCUAGAACUAUUAUCAUUGAUUCCAUUUGGCUCUGAAGCACAGUUGUUAUACUUUCAAACAGUUAAGUUCAGACAACCUGUCCUCCCUCGUCCUAGAAUGAUACAUUCCAAUGAAUGUGUUAAUGUUGUUACUAUUAAAGACAUGGAAACACACAA